rnacentral:rRNA from 1 species
UACGAGGGGGGCAAGCGUUGUUCGGAAUUACUGGGCGUAAAGCGCACGUAGGCGGCUUUGUAAGUUAGAGGUGAAAGCCCGGGGCUCAACUCCGGAAUUGCCUUUAAGACUGCAUCGCUCGAGUUGUGGAGAGGUAAGUGGAAUUCCGAGUGUAGAGGUGAAAUUCGUAGAUAUUCGGAAGAACACCAGUGGCGAAGGCGACUUACUGGACACAUACUGACGCUGAGGUGCGAAAGCGUGGGGAGCAAACAGG